rnacentral:misc_RNA from 1 species
GCAAACUUGGUCAUUUAGAGGAAGUAAAAGUCGUAACAAGGUUUCCGUAGGUGAACCUGCGGAAGGAUCAUUACCGAACCGUCAAACGUAGUUGUUUCUGGCCUUCAAAAGGGGGCACGUGCACGCUACGUUUGCACAUCCACUUCACACCCGUGCACCCUCUGUAGCUCUAUAGUCUGGGGAACCCUGUUCUCCUUCUGUAGCCCUACGUUUUUACACACACACUGUAACAAUGUCUUGUGGAAUGCUUUCUGCGUUUAACGCAAUACAGUACAACUUUCAGCAACGGAUCUCUUGGCUCUCGCAUCGAUGAAGAACGCAGC